rnacentral:rRNA from 1 species
GAUGAACGCUGGCGGCGUGCCUAAUACAUGCAAGUCGAGCGAACGGACGAGAAGCUUGCUUCUCUGAUGUUAGCGGCGGACGGGUGAGUAACACGUGGAUAACCUACUUAUAAGACUGGGAUAACUUCGGGAAACCGGAGCUAAUACCGGAUAAUAUUUUGAACCGCAUGGUUCAAAAGUGAAAGACGGUCUUGCUGUCACUAAUAGAUGGAUCCGCGCUGCAUUAGCUAGUUGGUAAGGUAACGGCUUACCAAGGCAACGAUGCAUAGCCGACCUGAGAGAGUGAUCGGCCACACUGGAACUGAGACACGGUCCAGACUCCUACGGGAGGCAGCAGUAGGGAAUCUUCCGCAAUGGGCGAAAGCCUGACGGAGCAACGCCGCGUGAGUGAUGAAGGUCUUCGGAUCGUAAAACUCUGUUAUUAGGGAAGAACAUAUGUGUAAUUAACUGUGCACAUCUUGACGGUACCUAAUCAGAAAGCCACGGCUAACUACGUG